GAAGAAUUCAAGCAAAGGGAUCAGGAAGAGGAUUGCUACUAAGAGGCAGAGAAACCAAUGAAGCCUUUUGCCAUCUCACACUGGAAAGACAAAAAGUCAUAGAGGCUUGAUUUUUAUAAGGAAAGAGAAGUGAGAAACUGACCUCGAUACUUUGUUGGACUUGCCUAAAGACAUUUGCUGAAUUCUCGGGCUGUGCUGGGAUGGAGAUUAGAGGCCAAAUAAAAACCUCUGAUGGAACGAAGUCUGUUUGUGGAAACACCCUUCCCCUCUGUUUACUUGGACCUGAUUUUGAAAGUAACAAGUCACUUUAUUUGGGCUGGAGGAAAAAGCACUAAACCAGAUGUUGAGGUGACCGGGAUUCCUGGAAGACAUUCUUCUCUCCAACGAGACACAUGAUGCAUGAAGUAGGAGCCCCUGGCAAGGAGCCCAGGCUGCCAUGGCCUCGCUCGCUCCUGCUUCCCGGCAUGGCCCCGAGGCUAGCUGCCUCUGUACUGCCUGAGCAUCGUCCCCUGGCGUGUCACCAGACUACCC
rnacentral:lncRNA from 10 species